GAAAGGGCUGGACCAAUGGCACCACUUCCCACAGAGCUGCCAGGCUCAGUGUAACAUAACUGCUUCAGAAAGAGGGCACUCCUGCACUGCUUAGGCCCUCAAUCCUUCACUUCCAAGGCAUCCUUCUCCCUGGACUGCAGGAUACCACUGGGGCCAUUGCUGCCAAACCGACACAGGCUGUCCAAGCCUAGAAAGGAAGAAAAAAGGAUGGUUACUGAAAUAGGAAUUGACAGAGAAAAUAGAAGGCAGGGGACUAGUCUCUGAGUAAGCUAAAAUGCAAGGCCUCUGUGGAAUCCCUUAUGGUGGAGGCAUCACAGAAUAGUCCUGGGAGGUUGAGGACAGAUGAGCCAAACUUAGUUUCCAGCAAAAGACCGCUAAGGCAUUUUAGCACAAAGGAACUCUGAUCUAAUCAAGCUCAAAAUGACUUUGUGUGUUUGUUACUGUGCUUCAAACACAGGCAAGGUGGAUGCAGGAUAUGUGGAAAUCCCUUUCUGUUAAAGGCACAGAACUCAAGAAUUUCCAUCUGGUGACAGUGACAUAACAAUGUUUAGAUCACAGACACGAAGCAAAGACAGAUGUUUUGUAUCUUAGUCUAGCACAUAUUGGAGACACAAACUUUUACCUCUUUGGAGGCACACAUGCUUCCCUCCUGCUGCUCACACACUUCCAAAUGUGGUUUUUUUCACUCUCUUCCCUCGAGGAAAGUGUGUAUGCUAAAGAUAAUGUGUGUGUCUCUUUCCCUCAGAUGUCUCCUCCUUAAGAGACCCUGUGAAAUAGAUGGGCACAGCAACAUUAACAUGUUGUAAUUAAGCCAUUUACUCCUACUUCUUAUCUAGAAGAAUGCAAUUUAAAAGUAUAUGCCUUGAAUUUUAAACUGAAAUAUUCUGAUAAAUAUAUAAUAUUUUUGUACACACAUAUACACACACACUUUAAGCAAACAUUCACUUUCACACAAGUUAGAUUUAGCCAUAUUUGAGUUUUCUGUUCUGUUUCUCUGGCUGCCCUAGACAUCUCACGGCCUGGUUUUCAGAAGCUUACACAAAAAUCAGGGCAAUUAGACUGUUCACAUGAAUUUUCUUAUGUCACUCAUCUUGCUUUUAAUCUGCUGGAUUGUUCCUGGAAAAAACAUUUCCUACAUGUUUCAAAACGGCAAAAUUUUAGAUUCCUCCAGAAUAUAAGAGAGACCAUCUGCCUUCUCCUUCCUUUACUACGAGACAAAGAAACAAAUUCCUGUACAAUUACAUUAUUAAAUUACCCCUUUUGGCCUAUCUAAACUUCUUCUCAGUGUCAGUGAGAAAAGCCAUUUCUUUCCUAACAUAAAAACAGCUGGAUGAAGUCAUUUGGUCAGAGCCAUAGAGUCAUCUCUUUACAAAAGAAUGAAAGAGGGAAACAAAGGCAGGUCUUGGAAAAUGUCAUGGAAAUGUCAUGGGCUGUCACAGUCCCAACUGGGCCAUAGCAGUGGUUGGAGUCAUGGAACUCACACAAGUGGUCCUUUACACUUUUCAUCCUAUAGCAGCACCCAAACUGAAACUUUUGUGUGAAAAGCUUUUCUACACCCCAGCCUUACACCAUGCAGAAAAGUUGCCAGCUCAGGACCAGCUUCUCUGCUGAUGAGUCCUCUCUGGCAGAAACAGAGCCUUUGUGGGGCUGUGUGGGAGGCAGGCCUGGGGACAGCUGUCUGGGGUUGCCCUGGGAAACCACUAAUGUAUAAGACUCCCGCCUUCCCCAUGUCAAUCAUAUGUUGUGCCCUCCCCAGUUUCUGUCAGUCACUCUUUGCACCAUCCCUCAGUUCUAGAAAGUUCCAUGUUCUUUGGUUCUCCAUUGGUUACUCUAUGCUAACCACUCUUUCCCCUUAUUCCCAUGGGUUCUAGUUAUGUUACCCCAUCCCUGCUCCUCCCCUGAGCCCUCUUCCCAUUGGUCCCUAUGUACCCUGACCCUUCCUAUCCUUCCCCUGUUAUAUGUCCUGACCCCUCCCCUGGAGGAGGCUCUUGGAGUCUGUUUCCCUCCCGUGCAGUGGUUGACCGGUCAUCCUCCUACUUCGCCUUGCAAUAAACUCAUGGGAACUACAACAGCCCAAGUGUCCUCUCGUCUCUACAGUGGAAGAUCGGAUUAUGCUAUCUAAGGCCCCUGUUGACCACUCCCUCAGAAGACUCCCGGUGGGACCAAAGGUCCAGGGCAUCUUUAGUGCUGUGAUGAACAUCUGCUCGAAUCUGAGGAAGCCGAUGGAAGCUUCCCAAGGAGCCAUAGAGAUCUCUUGUAACAUACAGGCAUGCUGACAGGGAAUGUACAUAUAUCCUCAAAUUCCAAAACCUAAGGUCUCUGCCAUGAGCUGAUCCCUAUUACUGGGCCGAUGGCCAGCUUUUCUUAUCUGCAAUUCCUCUUGUUUCUGACAGCUUUUAGUAGGUCAGGUGCCAGAUAAUAUUUCUGCAAUGUGUCAGGCCCCCCUUGACAACAGCAGAAGCCAAGCAUCCAGAGAUCUGAUUGUUGCACUUCCAUGCCAAACUGGGAGUUGGGAUCCCUAAAAAAUACAAACCAUCCCAGCAAGAGCUGUGCUGCUAAAAAACAUUCAGAGGAACCUUAAUGGUAAGAGACCAGUAGUUUUUUGAUUGUAUUUGCAGGUACCAAAUAUAUCUCUCACCUCCUCAAGUACUGCUGAAAGCAACUGUUCUUUUGUUGUUCAUAAAUGACAAAUGGCAUCUGUCAUUUUAUCAUCAGAUAAGCCAAGCAAAGAUUAGGGCUGCUGCACUUAAGCUUUCAGCUCCCUUAGAACUGAUGUAACACUGUUACAGAUUAAUGACAGCUUGAAGUGUAAGAGACGUGGCUAGAGAGGGGCAGAGGACUUGGCUCUUAGGAAAAGUUAUGUUGUGCGUGAAACAGAAAUUGAAGGUGCUGCUGUCUGUUUUGAUCUGCCAUUCCUCAGGGCCUGUCAUUGAAUGUACAGACCUCUUUGGUCCAAGGAGAUGGAAUUUAAGCAUCAUUGGAACAAUAAAAAUGCACAAAUAUGUGGGGUGUAACUGUGACCAAUUAGGUAACACCAGAAACUGCAGACUUAAAUCUUGAAUAUAAAUUUCAUCAUAGGCUGGCUUGCUAUUCCCAUCAGACUGUAGUUAACUUUUACAGUUGUUCAUAAAGACCCAUGAUGCACAGCUUGAAAGCUACUGAACUAAGAAAGGAGGGACAUAGCUGUGGCAGGUGAAUGACACUUUGCCCAUUUUGUUUGAACUAAGGGGAUAAGACUAUGCCACCAGAGAAAGAGGCUGUGAACUCAAUAUAUAUUAAUUGCACUUAUUUCCCCAAGUUCUGUCUUGUUUCUCAUGUGUAUUAAUUUUCCUCUGUCACAUAAACCUGAACGGAGCCCAUUUCACCUAGUUGUGCUCCCUGCAGGCCAAUCCCAUGGGAAAGCAAUGCUACCUCUGUUGCUACCCAGCAGUCAGAUCAGAUGAAGUGGGAGUGGAGAAAGUUUACUACUUGUUUUACUACUUGUGCCUGAGGAAUAUUCACCCUCUUUCUCCCCUCUCCCAAACAACGCAUGAACCAGAGUGUUUCUCCUGCACAAGAAGGGGUGGUGAAUGGAAUUGCCUUGGUUCUGGGGGAUCCUGGUGAUAUGCUUGAGCCCCAAGGGGAGAAAACGAGGUAAAUGCAGGAGCUGAAAAAAAAAAAUCCGUGGUACAAUUAGUAAUGCCCUUGUUGGACAGACAAGAAAUCAGCAGGUUUCACAUGUGCAGGAGGAUGUUCCUCCUGGUUUUUGUGCUUGCAAAUGCUUGCUGAACUGAUGUACCCCGAUGGUUGUACAUAAAUUAUUUUCUCAGUGACUGCAGGAGAGAAGCCAGCCUAGGAACCUGUAGUGUGCAUCAGCAUUUUUCAUGUUUUGCUGCAUCACAGCACAACUGUAGAUUUCCUCAACAGCCUUUGAUUCUAAAUGUCAGCGACUUCUGCCAUUGGGUUUCUUAGCUGCUCCUCACUACCUUCAGGUAGCACAAGGUAGCACAACGUAACCUGUAAAGCACUGGGAUUAAUAGCAGUUACCUCAGUGGGGAGGGUCAAAGAGGAAAAGGGGUGUUAGAUAAGAAAUGCUGGUCCCACCUCCACUCUCUGGCCCUCCUUGCAGGACACACACAGGACAUUUCAGUGUGCCCAUGAUAGUAAAAGGGUUUUAAAAUCAUGGGAAUUUGGGGGCUGGAGGUAAAAUUAAGCUUAAUAGGCCCUGAGAAAAUACCCUGGGAAAGUGUAGGCCUUGUACCUUGCUAGAACUGCACCUGUGUAGCUAGUACAUGAUAAAUGAUAUAAUUGUUAGAUGUGAUGAUUGUUUAGUAAUUAAAUAUAAUUACUGUUUAAUCAUAAGACUAAUGAGAAACUGUGGUCAGAGGCUUGAGAAAGAUCACGAGAAACUCAUGCUUGAAUAAAGUCAAUGUAUACAAUAGAACAAUAUAAGGUUAAUAAUUAAUAUGUAAGUUUUAUAAUGAUAGAAUAUAAAAUACGUUCAGCUCGAAAGCCAUGUUGGAAUCAGAUUUGGGUCUGUACCCCUGAUUCCCAGAGCUCUUGAAUAAAAGCACCUGCAUAUAAUCACAU
ensembl:lncRNA